AUGGCAACCUCUCAAAAAUGGAGUCAGUCAUGUCAGACUAACAGGAAGGAGGGAAACUAAGAUGAGGGAACUGAGACCCUGAGCAGUUAAGUAACCAGCCCAGGAUGAAGGAGAAAAUCAGUGAUAAAGGAAUCACAUGCCUGAAAAUACAAAGUGUUGGCAGUAUGGAGGAGGAGUGUUUGGAGCUCAUGAAGCCAGCAAGUGAAACAAGUCAAGUCACUGUCAGGAUGGAAAAAAAAAUGCAAAACUAAGUCAGAUCACCCUUGCAAGUGGUGACUAGAAAAAUCACAGUUUUAUAUGGAGCAUGGGUAGAAGUUACUGGCCUAGAGGACAAGAAUGCAUUUAGAAGGGUUCACUUGUCUUAGAAUCUGAAGUUGCUAUUUGCAUUUGCAUCAUUGCUACAAUCUCCUAAC